rnacentral:misc_RNA from 1 species
GAUGAAGAACGUAGCGAAAUGCGAUAAGUAAUGUGAAUUGCAGAAUUCAGUGAAUCAUCGAAUCUUUGAACGCAUCUUGCGCUCCUUGGUAUUCCUUGGAGCAUGCCUGUUUGAGUAUCAUGAGCAAAUCUCAAAGUCAAUUCCUUUUGUUAAUUCAAUUGGUUUUGCUUUGGACUUGGAGGUCUUGCAGAUUUUCACAGUCUGCUCCUCUUAAAUGCAUUAGCUGGAUCUCAGUAAUUAUGCUUGAUUCCACUCGGCGUGAUAAGUAUCACUCGCUGAGGACACUGUUAAAAAGGUGGCCAGGAAAAUACUGAUUGAACCGCUUCUAACGGUCUAUUAAGUUAGACAAUUACCCUUAAGUUUGAUCUCAAAUCAGGUAGGACUACCCGCUGAACUUAAGCAUAUCAAUAAGCGGAGGA